CACGUCAACCAAAUGUCAUAUUUAUUGGUUCACGGAGUAGUACAGGCUAUCAUGGGUAUCUUUCACACCGUUUCCGGUCUGUCUGUUAAGAAACCGUCUCAGAGGGACUCGGAACUUUUAUAGGAACUAGACUAAUUCCGCCCUCCAGCCAACGGUCCGGGACUGGAACUCUUCGGAACUCUUGGCGCAAGCUUUGAUGUUUAUGGACACUAUCACGAAAAAACAGCCUGCGGCCUACAGACUUCUAUUCGCCGCCUUCCAAAAGAGAAUUUAUUCUUCUGGGUAUUUGUGGUUUGUGUGGAUGUCUAUGUUGGCGUUCAAUAUUUGCUCAACCAAGCGAAUCCUUAAAGCAAUAGCAAGUUUGAAUAUACCAGUAACCGCCAGUAACUGGUUUGCCUAUACCAAGGUCGCAGGUGGGACGCAAGAACAGAGCAGCAGUUCACGCAGACAUAUGAUUCGAGCGUGAAGUAGAGUCGACCUUGGCAACAGAUCGCGACAUCAAAUUCCUUGUUGGUCGUCGUUCCCGAACGAUUUUCCUGGAGGAAGAAAAUGCGUUGAUUGCGAACGAAAUCUCUUAUUUGAGAUCAAGAACUGUUUGUGAAAAACUGGAAACACUUUUUUUUUGUUUCUUCCAGAUUCACAAAGUUUUCUUGAGAAGAAAAAUAAUUAAACGUGUGUCACAGCUGACAUUUCGAAAUUCUUCUCAUCACGCCCUUGAAACUGCUGCUGCUGCGCUCGUAUGCAGAUGAAGUCGCGCUAAUGUUCGUGUUCAAUGUCGAAGGGCCUUUUCAAAUUUCUAGUUCUGUUGGAGCUUUUUGCACAAGUCCAUAAUGGAAGAUGUUACAGGAUGAUGGAAGAUCUUUAACGCUUGGGGUUAAUUCAUGCGUGAUCGAAAAUUUUUAAAUUUCAGACUGCCGAUGCGCAGCUUUUUUGACCAAUAAUUUAUACGGUCUCAAGAAAUGCCACAACAAGCUGAACUUUCCCGAACGACAUUUGAAGGAUAUAGCCUUUUACGUUGAUAGUAGUAUUAUAUCCUGGUAUUUGUAUGUAAAGAUAAGAAUUAUUUUACACGGACGCAAGAAAUGCCAUUACAAGCGGAAUUUUCCCGAACGACAGUUGAAGGAUAUAACCUUUUAAGUUCAUGGUGGUAUUAUAUCCUGUAUGUAUUAUGUUUGUAUAUGUUUGUAAGAUAAGAAGGAUAUUAUUCCUUCUUGGCAGUCAUUUAUCUGUGGGUUUCGUGUAAAUAUUGAAUUUUUUUCUUGUCUGUGGUAGGGUCAUUAGAUUAUUCUAAAAUAAUUCCGAUCCGUUUAGCGGAUGUCGAGCGCGGGUGGGAAAACCACUUUUAUCGUUGUCAAGUGGGUGUUGGGUGGAUUUUUAAAAUAAUUUAUAUCGAUAUUUUAAGAAACAAAUGGCUAAUUAGGAAAUUAGUGUGGUCUGCUGCUUUCCGCUUUCGGUUUGUUUAGUUUCGAAAUAAACGUGACAGUCGUGUCCAAUCUGUAGUCGCGUCUCUUUACAUAAGCACUUCGUACACACUGCUGAUUAGCAGUGCAGAUUUGAGGCCAGAGACAGCCAUCAUAACCACCAGAUAUGAUGUAACCAUAGACCUGUCAUCAGCAGCAAUCUCAGCAUCAUCGCUUGGUUUUACAGCACCCCGUUUGGAUUCUUGACUGAGAAACUACCGUUGCUGGCCAUGUUACGUGUCCCUUCUUCCCUUUUCUUUAAACGUCCUCGUGUACACCCAUGUGAGUGUGGGUGUAUUCACGAAGCCAUCCUUUUUCCUAUCCUGCCUGGUGUAUUCAACUAUACUGCGGAAGGAGCACUUGUGGAUGCCUGGCCGUAUAUUUCCCAGGCAUAAAGAUAAAACAUGACGGUCAACGACUCUAGACAAAUCGAAAAACGCGUCGAGGCAAAUAACUUGGCACGUCACGUUGAAGUGGGGAAAAUUCCAUUUUUAUAUCAACGCGGAACUUGUUUCAUUUGCAUUGCAGAUAUUUUGCGCAUUUUCUCUUAUAUAGCAAAAAGUAUAAAAAUACAUCCAGACUUGUCUUUUCCUUUCCGUGGUCAUUCCAAGGUGACCGCUAGAUAUGCAAAUUCUAAAUCGUAAUUCACGAACGAGAAAAGAAAGCAGCAAACAGAUAGAUCGCUGAUCGAUAACAUUUUAUUGGCGUUUAAAAAAAAAAAAAAAAUAAAUAGUAUGCUGGACAUUUUUUCGAUCGGUUACUAAUAAUAAUACU